CAAAAAAAAUCCAACAAUAAUAAAGUUAUUUUUAUUAUAGUUGAUAAGAUUUAUAUUCUAGAUUUUUGAUCAUGAUUUAGAUGUUAAUAUUCACAGUAGAAACUUCUAAUCAACAUACAAUAUCAUCUCUUUUUUGUGAUAUGUUAAAUUCAAACUUAUUACCAAACAGUGUAGAAACUCAAAAAUCAACAUACUAUAUCAACUUUUUGUGUAAUAAUUGAACUGAAAUAAUUGUGCUUGGACAUCAAAGAGGCUAAUUCACUGCUCAUUGAGUUCAGGAAUAACACGAGAAGAGAUUGAGCACGAAAAUGCACCAUCACACAACGAGCAAGUGAGGUCACUCAAUCCCACCCAAUGCGCCUUGGACAUGAAUCAUUCGCUUUAGCCCAAUGCGCUUCAACCCGAGCACAUAAAGAUUUGUCAAGACACGCAUGAGAGAAAUAAUUGCAAGACUCAUCUAUCCAAUAAGGUAAUUGUAUUCCCUAUUAAUAUAGAGGAUUGAUUCCUCUAACCCCCCACGAUUUGGAGGAAUGGUUAGGUCUGGAGUCUAGUUCUUUAACAACAACUUGGCUUAAGAAUCAAGUUGGACAUCCAUGGAGGAAAC
rnacentral:lncRNA from 1 species